GAUGAACGCUGGCGGCGUGCCUAAUACAUGCAAGUCAAGCGAACAGAUAAGGAGCUUGCUCCUUUGACGUUAGCGGCGGACGGGUGAGUAACACGUGGAUAACCUACCUAUAAGACUGGGAUAACUUCGGGAAACCGGAGCUAAUACCGGAUAACAUAUUGAACCGCAUGGUUCAAUAGUGAAAGGCGGCUUUGCUGUCACUUAUAGAUGGAUCCGCGCCGUAUUAGCUAGUUGGUAAGGUAACGGCUUACCAAGGCAACGAUACGUAGCCGACCUGAGAGGGUGAUCGGCCACACUGGAACUGAGACACGGUCCAGACUCCUACGGGAGGCAGCAGUAGGGAAUCUUCCGCAAUGGGCGAAAGCCUGACGGAGCAACGCCGCGUGAGUGAUGAAGGUCUUCGGAUCGUAAAACUCUGUUAUCAGGGAAGAACAAAUGUGUAAGUAACUGUGCACAUCUUGACGGUACCUGAUCAGAAAGUCACGGUUUACUACGUGCCAGCAGCCGCGGUAAUACGGAGGUGGCAAGCGUUAUCCGGAAUUAUUGGGCGUAAAGCGCGCGUAGGCGGUUUUUUAGUCUGAUGUGAAAGCCCACGGCUCACCCGUGGAGGGUCAUUGGAAACUGGAAAACUUGAGUGCAGAAGAGGAAAGUGGAAUUCCAUGUGUAGCGGUGAAAUGCGCAGAGAUAUGGAGGAACACCAGUGGCGAAGGCGACUUUCUGGUCUGUAACUGACGCUGAUGUGCGAAAGCGUGGGGAUCAAACAGGAUUAGAUACCCUGGUAGUCCACGCCGUAAACGAUGAGUGCUAAGUGUUAGGGGGUUUCCGCCCCUUAGUGCUGCAGCUAACGUAUUAAGCACUCCGCCUGGGGAGUACGACCGCAAGGUUGAAACUCAAAGGAAUUGACGGGGACCCGCACAAGCGGUGGAGCAUGUGGUUUAAUUCGAAGCAACGCGAAGAACCUUACCAAAUCUUGACAUCCUUUGACUGCUCUAGAGAUAGAGUCUUCCCCUUCGGGGGACAAAGUGACAGGUGGUGCAUGGUUGUCGUCAGCUCGUGUCGUGAGAUGUUGGGUUAAGUCCCGCAACGAGCGCAACCCUUAAGCUUAGUUGCCAUCAUUAAGUUGGGCACUCUAAGUUGACUGCCGGUGACAAACCGGAGGAAGGUGGGGAUGACGUCAAAUCAUCAUGCCCCUUAUGAUUUGGGCUACACACGUGCUACAAUGGACAAUACAAAGGGCAGCUAAACCGCGAGGUCAAGCAAAUCCCAUAAAGUUGUUCUCAGUUCGGAUUGUAGUCUGCAACUCGACUACAUGAAGCUGGAAUCGCUAGUAAUCGUAGAUCAGCAUGCUACGGUGAAUACGUUCCCGGGUCU
rnacentral:rRNA from 1 species